GAUGAACGCUGGCGGCGUUCCUAAUACAUGCAAGUCGAGCGAACAGACGAGGAGCUUGCUCCUCUGACGUUAGCGGCGGACGGGGGAGUAACACGUGGAUAACCUACCUAUAAGACUGGGAUAACUUCGGGAAACCGGCGCUAAUACCGGAUAAUAUAUUGAACCGCAUGGUUCAAUAGUGAAAGACGGUUUUGAUGUCACUUAUAGAUGGAUCCGCGCCGCAUUAGCUAGUUGGUAAGGUAACGGCUUACCAAGGCAACGAGGCGUAGCCGACCUGAGAGGGUGAUCGGCCACACUGGAACUGAGACACGGUCCAGACUCCUACGGGAGGCAGCAGUAGGGAAUCUUCCGCAAUGGGCGAAAGCCUGACGGAGCAACGCCGCGUGAGUGAUGAAGGUCUUCGGAUCUUAAAACUCUGUUAUUAGGGAAGAACAAAUGUGUAAGUAACUAUGCACGUCUUGACGGUACCUAAUCAGAAAGCCACGGCUAACUACGUG
rnacentral:rRNA from 1 species